AACCAAACACCCCCUUAUAUUAUUUGACAUGUCUCUUAUUCUGAAUAAUACUUCACAUUAGGUUUCAAUAUCAUUCCAAGAGCCCGAAAUAACCUACAACCAAUUAGAGCAAUGUUACCAAUAUAUCAGGCCUACAAUGCAAACAUGCCAUCGAGAGAGACCAAGGCCUUACCCUUCUCACAAGAAAUUAUUAGACAGAUCAGAUCCGAUGCCAAUCCAAAUCCUGGAGCAUAUGUAUGGUGGAUAAUAUGAUAGGUUAUCACCUCUAUUUUAAUCUUGAAUAGUUUAAAUAAUAUAAGGGGAGAUAAUAUGGCAACUGAGUAUUGGACUCGUCCAUUGGAUCUGGGUGAGUGAUUAGUGGUCCACUAGAUCUGGGUGAGCGACUAUUAGGCUAGUCCACUGAAUCUCCUCCAUCUAAUAAUUUUUUUUCUUUAUGUGACUAAAUAUCUAAGAUGGCAACCAUAUAGCAAGAUAAGGGACCCUGGCCUUAUGGCUUCACUAUAACUUUUGGGAUAGGAUAUUCGGGUCCGCUAUUCCUCUUCGACCGAGCGUCCAUCAGGACAAUCUAUUCUGGGACAGUAGAG
rnacentral:lncRNA from 1 species